rnacentral:rRNA from 1 species
GACGAACGCUGGCGGCGUGCUUAACACAUGCAAGUCGAGCGGUAAGGCCCUUUCGGGGGUACACGAGCGGCGAACGGGUGAGUAACACGUGGGUGACCUGCCCUUAGCUCUGGGAUAAGCCUGGGAAACUGGGUCUAAUACCGGAUAUGACUCCAUGACGCAUGUUGUGGGGUGGAAAGCCUUGUGCGGCUAGGGAUGGGCCCGCGGCCUAUCAGCUUGUUGGUGGGGGUGAGGCCUACCAAGGCGACGACGGGUAGCCGGCCUGAGAGGGCGACCGGCCACACUGGGACUGAGACACGGCCCACGACUCCUACGGGAGGCAGCAGUGGGGAAGUCUUGCGCAAUGGGCGAAAGCCUGACGCAGCGACGCCGCGUGGGGA